rnacentral:rRNA from 1 species
UACGGAGGAUGCGAGCGUUAUCCGGAUUUAUUGGGUUUCAAGGGUGCGCAGGCGGUCUGUUAAGUCAGCGGUCAAAGCCCAGGGCUCAACCCCGGCCCGCCGUUGAAACUGGCAGUCUCAAGUUGGAGAGAAGUACGCGGAAUGCGCGGUGUAGCGGUGAAAUGCUUAGAUAUUGCGCAGAACUCCGAUUGCGAAGGCAGCAUACCGGCGCGCAACUGACGCUCAUGCACGAAAGCGUGGGUAUCGAACAGG